rnacentral:hammerhead_ribozyme from 1 species
AUCCAGUCGACGAGUUCUCAAUAGGACGAAAUGCGCAUCAUGGAU